CGGGAAUCUAGUGACAGGUGCUGCAUGGCUGUCGUCAGCUCGUGUCGUGAGAUGUUGGGUUAAGUCCCGUAACGAGCGCAACCCUUGUCCUUAGUUGCCAGCACGUAAUGGUGGGCACUCUAAGGAGACUGCCGGUGACAAGCCGGAGGAAGGUGGGGACGACGUCAAGUCAUCAUGGCCCUUACGACCUGGGCUACACACGUGCUACAAUGGCCGGUACAGAGGGCUGCAAGCCCGCGAGGGGGAGCUAAUCUCACAAAGCUGGUCGUAGUCCGGAUCGCAGUCUGCAACUCGACCGCGAGAAGUUGGAAUCGCUAGUAAUCGUGAAUCAGAAUGUCGCGGAGAAUACGUUCCCGGGC
rnacentral:rRNA from 1 species